UUGAAUGAACUUGAUGUAGUUGUCGCUGGCCCUCUUGGGGGCAUGUGCACGCUCGUCAUCUUUAUCUUUCCACCUGUGCACACUUUGUAGACCUGGAUGGUACUUUCCGAGGUAACUCGGUCGGGAGGACUGCUGUGCGUCAUUGCCGGCUUUCCUUGCAUUAUUCAGGCCUAUGUUUUCAUAUACCCCAAAGCAUGUAACAGAAUGUAUCAUUGGGCCUUGUGCCUAUAAACUAUAUA
rnacentral:misc_RNA from 1 species